rnacentral:misc_RNA from 1 species
GGGGAAUGUUUACCUUAGCAAAGUUCUGUAGCUUUUUUUUUGUCAUCUUUAUCCAAAAUUUUCAUUGGUUUAUUUUUUUUUAUUAAGAAUAUGAUCAUAAAUUUGCAAUUGAAUUAGAGGAUACAGAAAAAUCCAUAGACUCCCUGAGGCUUCAUUUGUUUGCUUUUUUGUUUUUUCUCCAUUUUUUCAAUGCCAUAGAUGAAAUCAGCG